rnacentral:tRNA from 1 species
GAAGGUAUAGGCCAAGUGGUAGAGUGCAUGCUUAGCAUGCAUGAGGUCCUGGGUUCAAUCCCCAGUACCUCCU